rnacentral:rRNA from 1 species
GCAAGUCGUGGGGUAUACACUUCGGUGUAGAGACCGGCGCACGGGUGAGUAACACGUGAGUAUCUACCUAUAGAUGGGGGAUAGCCUAUGGAAACAUAGGGUAAUACCGCAUAUGACGAGAGUUGAAAGCUACUUUUGUAGCGUCUGUAGAUGAGCUUGCGGUCCAUUAGCUAGUUGGCGGGGUAAGUGCCCACCAAGGCGAUGAUAGGUAGCCGGCCUGAGAGGGUGAUC